UACGUAGGGCGCAAGCGUUGUCCGGAAUUAUUGGGCGUAAAGAGCUCGUAGGCGGUUUGUCGCGUCUGCUGUGAAAAUCCGAGGCUCAACCUCGGACUUGCAGUGGGUACGGGCAGACUAGAGUGUGGUAGGGGAGACUGGAAUUCCUGGUGUAGCGGUGGAAUGCGCAGAUAUCAGGAGGAACACCAAUGGCGAAGGCAGGUCUCUGGGCCAUAACUGACGCUGAGGAGCGAAAGCAUGGGGAGCGAACAGG
rnacentral:misc_RNA from 1 species